GAUGAACGCUGGCGGCGUGCUUAACACAUGCAAGUCGAACGGAGAAAAGAAGCUUGCUUCUUUUCUUAGUGGCGGACGGGUGAGUAACGCGUGGGUAACCUGCCCUAUGCAGGGGGAUAACGUUGGGAAACCAACGCUAAUACCGCAUAAAACAAAGAGCUUGCAUGAGCUUUUUGUCAAAGAUUUAUCGGCAUAGGAUGGACCCGCGUUGGAUUAGCUAGUUGGUGAGAUAACAGCCCACCAAGGCGACGAUCCAUAGCCGGCCUGAGAGGGUGAACGGCCACAUUGGGACUGAGACACGGCCCAAACUCCUACGGGAGGCAGCAGUGGGGAAUAUUGCACAAUGGGCGCAAGCCUGAUGCAGCGACGCCGCGUGAAGGAUGAAGGUUUUCGGAUCGUAAACUUCUAUCAGCAGGGAGGAACCAAAUGACGGUACCUGACUAAGAAGCCCCGGCUAACUACGUGCCAGCAGCCGCCGUAA
rnacentral:rRNA from 1 species